rnacentral:rRNA from 1 species
CUACCAUGGCGUUUACGGGUAACGGAGGAUUAGGGUUCGAUUCCGGAGAGGGAGCCUGAGAAACGGCUACCACAUCUAAGGAAGGCAGCAGGCGCGUAAAUUACCCAAUCCUGACUCAGGGAGGUAGUGACAAGAAAUAACGGACCGGCCCAUCGGGCUCGGGAUUGCAAUGAGCCGAAUUUACACCCCUUAGCGAGGAUCGAUUGGAGGGCAAGUCUGGUGCCAGCAGCCGCGGUAAUUCCAGCUCCAAUAGCGUAUAUUAAAGUUGUUGCAGUUAAAAAGCUCGUAGUUGGAUUUCUGGGAGGGUGCCAAUGUCCGCCGACGUGCGUGCGCAGCGGCGCCCUUCCAUCCUUCUGUUAACGCCUCUUGGCAUUCAUUUGCUGGUGGCGGGCUCAGAUAUUUUACCUUGAGAAAAUUAGAGUGUUUCAGGCAGGCUAGGCCGGAAUACAUUAGCAUGGAAUAAUGGAAUAGGACUACGGUCUCUUUGUUGGUUUGAGGGACUGCAGUAAUGAUUAAUAGGGAUAGUUGGGGGCAUUAGUAUUUAAUUGUCAGAGGUGGAAUUCUCAGAUUUGUUAAAGACUAACUUAUGCGAAAGCAUUUGCCAAGGAUGUUUUCAUUAAUCAA